GGAGAUGAGAGCAAGAAGAGAGAGAGGGGGGUUCUUGUGUGUGCAAUGCGCAGAAGAAGAAUAGAAAGAUGAAGAAGUCGACAUGAGAGAGGUCGCGAAGAGGGAAGGAGAUGAGAGCAAGAAGAGAGGGGGGGGUUCUUGUGUGUGCAAUGCGCAUGAGGCUCUCAUAACCUGAGCUGCACAAUUUCAUCAACCAUUUCUUCUCUUUUGAUAGUAAGUAUUGGAACCCACCGCACUAGCAACAGACAUCUGUAGAGGGAAAAAACCUGUGUGCCAUGAGAGCCCCCCGUUCCCAUCCGCCAGCCCCCCACCAUCCUCCGCCACCGCGCUACCCGCCGCCACCGGCGACAGCCCCCGCCUACCCCCGCAGAGCUCCAGCAGGACCACAAACCAACCAGAACCUACACCCCCCAUCCCCAAUCAUCCCGCAUUCAAGGAGAGCCUGGGAGCAGUUCUUCAACGCCUCCCCACCGCCACCUCCACGGGGAGGCCGGCCGCCGCUACUCGAGGAAGAUUGGGUGCCGGAAUCGCCGGAUCUGAGGAUCCCCUUGCAAGAUCUGAGGCCUGGCAACUUCAAACCUACCACUGCCAAAGAGGAUGCGGUGUUGUCCUACGCGGAGGUCGUCAGAGGCUGGCGUUUCAACUCCCCAACCGUCCCAAUCUCCCUACGACACCACGGAGAAGGAAGCGCUACAGCCCAUGGGAGAGGGAGUAACUCCGAUGACAAAACGGCUCCGCGGCGCAUUCAAGACCCAGCGUCAACGGUGUGAUGUUCCGGGCCCCGGUACGGCAAAGUACAGCAACCACCUCAGCACACCCCGGCGCGCCAUGACUGGCAGACAGUGAGGCGCCGAAGGACGCGGUAGCGUGCACCGCCCGAGAUGCUGCGACGCGACGGCGGAAGUGACCGGAGCCGCAGAAGCCAUUCAAGGAGGCCACCAACCAAGGCGCUGCUCGCCUUCAAGCGCGAGACCGCGGGUCGCUGCUUCCGGUGCCUUGCCACAGACCACCUCGCCUCGGCAUGCCGCGACCCUGUGCGCUGCUUCCGGUGCCGGCAAUUCGGACACAGAGAGCGCGCGUGCAGGGCGGCGCGGGCACCAGCUGAAUAGGUAACCGCCAAACGCGGGCUGACCACUCGCACCACGCCGCCAGUCACCUGACGACCGCCACCAGCCGCGCCACCAGCAGAGCCACGCGCCAGAGCUCCAGCCAGCCACCCGCCGACCCACAAAGCCCCAACCUCUACUCGCUGCCAACCCCCUGCAAUACCACACCACACGGCCUCCGUCGAUAGCCGGCCGCGACUGCGUUUGAGUCCAGCCGUCCGCCACCCUCCAUCUGAGCCAACAAGAACCACAGCCAAAAUGGCCAUAGGAGACCCUCACACACGACCAGAAGUGGAAACAGUGUUCGUCUCCAGCUCCUUCCACCUUGAGCAUGAUGCGCGGGACUGGGAAGCCUGCGCGCUCGUCCCGUGGGCGCUGCACCUGCCGCCGGACGCCGGAGCUCGGGACAUCGCCAACCUCCUCACUUGAGAGCUCCGUCUGCGGCCCGGCGACUUCACCGUCAAGCUACACCAGCCAGAACCAUAUCUGAUCCGGUUCGAGCAUGCGGCGCAUGCGGCGGAGGCGCGCCGCCGUGGGUGUUUCACAGGUGCGGGCAUCGACAUCUGCCUCCGCACAUGGUGAAGCCUCACGCACGCCCUCGGCUUCUGCAUCUUCUACAGGGUGCGGCUCUGCCUCGACGGCAUCCCGUCACACGCCUAGACACCGGAGAUUGUUGAGCGAGUCGUCGGCCACAAGUGCGCUCUGCAACACAUCGUCACCGACCUCAUCCAACCGGCGGACUCCAGGCACAUCGAGCUCUGGGCAUGGACGGUGGACCCGAGCGAGAUCCCAAAGAAGGUAUGGCUCGCCUUCACCCACAACCCGGCAGCCAAGUCCUCUGCUUUUGCAGUCUCGGCCGAGCCCCCACAGCUGUCAUGGCAGCAAGGGGCCCGAUAUGAAGUCUUCAUCCACAUGCCAUUACUGGAGGACUACACGGCGGUGGCACGCGAUCUCCAGCAGGCCAUCGACAACCCGCAAAGUGUCCCCAACUCGGCGGCGCUUCGAAUGGUGCUACGGCCUCGUCGACGGUGCGCUGCCGGAUGCAAGAUCGCAUUUUCCGACGCGCCUGCCUCGGCCGCCGUGGGAACCGACCGGCGGGGAUUCUCACCCUGCUGACCACAGCAGGGGACGACACGAGACCGCAGGCGCUCCUAGAGCUGCACAAGGCGCCCGGGCCAUGGGCGGCGAUGGAGACGGUGGGAGCAGGCGUGGCGCGCAAGCUCGUCAAGAUCCGCAUGAGAAAGCUGAUCACACCAAGCGUCGAGCGGCCAGACAGCACUGCAACGACCGGCCAUUUGUCUGGCCUUCCCGCCGCGGAGAUGACGACGACGACGGCAACGGUGACUACAACCACCCAGGGCAGGGACGCAACCUCGGCGACGACUACUGGGGCAGUGCGGGUGCGGUGCGCCGUGACCGCACGAGACCCUCCCCCCCCCCCCCCCCCCGCGGCGCAACUACGCACCCCUGUAAGGAUGGUGCCAUGAAGCUGGCGAUCUGGGGCUAAGCAACUUAGCCCCGGCACAACUCCAGGCCCUGUUCGUGGUGCAAGCCAAGACGCUGAAGAACUACAUGCAGGAGAAGGUAAUCAAGGCACCUGAUACGACUGACAAUUUCACUUUGGAUGCUAGGAAGCGGUACUGGCACGCCGGCGUCGAUGAAUACAUCCGUAAAGCGUGUUGGCUCGCCGACCGCCUCGGCAUCGAUGACGCUGUGCAAGGGGAAAAGGCCUGGUCCGACCCGGUGCCGCUGCCGCGAGUCUUCAACACUCUGCGGGCGGCGCUCCUCCCGGCUCCGUCGAUGGCGUCGCCGACGAUUCAAGACGUCGACCGGGCGCUGGACAUCUUGUGCAUUGGCGCGGCGGAGGAAGACGCAAGCGACAUGGGCCAAGAAUGCCACACGCAGGCAGCAGCCCAGAUGGCCGCGGGCAAUGCCCCAGCUCAGCUAGCCAUCAACACGGCCCGAGCUGAGGAGCAAGAGCCACAACGGGACGCCCCAGCAGGCGACAUGGCUGGGCUGCACCGGAAGGUUGGUGGCUAGGUAUCCGCUGGGCCGAGGUAGGCCCACCAAACCACAACAACUGCGGUGCCUUCAGCAGUGACCACAAGUGAGGCGGCCCACGAAACACCCCUAGCCGGGCUCAACACGUCGCCUCCUGGAAACAUGCCCACUAGGCCCGUCAACGGGGCCACCUGCCCACCGCAAGCGGCGGCCCGCACACAACCACCACCUGAGGCCUGCCUGCUCCCGCACGACAGCCAUCUUGCAAGGCCAACAAAUGGGACUUCCAGUCCAGAGCAACACAUGCCCACGAACUAGUCGCCCGAUGCAAUGCCAGUGAUUGCCCCUGCUGUGCCUACCCCAAAAAUAGAUGACCUCUUCACAACCCUGCUGCCGCCAGCACUGCUACAGCCCCCACUGCAGCGCACGCGCCGGAGCCGCACCUUCGACAUGAGCAAGGUGCAGCGGAGCGCGCGUCUGGCCAAGAAGCCAGCCAUGCCGGCCAUUGAACGUGCAGAACGGAACCUCUGGAGGAAACUAGGCGUCGGUGAUGAUGAGAUGGCGCCAAUUGAGCAAGUACUGCAAGAUUUCCUUAACAUGUUUCAGGGGCGCUGCCGGACUUCAUCAUAAUAGCUAUGACUGCUCUCUUCAACCUCGACGACGACGCCGCCGAGCAGAUGAACGACGCGCUUCUACAGAUGGCAGGCGACGCUGUAAGAGAGCUCCAGCAGGAUGACCAUGCGGCUACAUGAUCAUCAUGACACUGCACCUACAUCAAGUGUUUUAUCAAUGCUACAUGUAUAGCUACUUUUAUGUAUUUCCUAUUCUUGUACCUCACCCUGCUGGUUGCGACCUUCGGGGAGGACUCUACUUUAGCCCUGCUGGCUGUGACCUUCGGGCAAAACUUGCGAACUAUAAACUAUGCCCCGCCAGCUAUCAACCUAGAACUUGGACAACAGCUACUCCAGCGACAAAAGGCACCAACGACCAUAAUCCAGCGACAAAAAGCACCAACGAUAGCCACCUACGGCACCUACGGCACCCACGGGAUCAAUACUCUACGAGAUGCAGCGUCUGUUGGAGGUAUGCCCUAGAGGCAAUCAUAGAGAUGAUGAUAUUCCAUUUGUAUCCAUGAUUUGUAUAUUGUGUUCAUUGAAUAUCCAUUAAAGGCUACUUGAAUUGAUUUGCAAUUAUGUGAAUUGUAUGUGAAACUCUUUACUUGUAUGGUUAUUCUAAAGUUGUCCCUAGUCGGAGUUCAUGUGAGGACACACAUGAAUAUCAGACUAGCACAUGUAUUAGUUGAUGACUAUGUUUCACAAGUCAUGGACAUGGAGAUGUUGAACUAAUAAUGUGGACACAUGUGGAGACAUGUGUUAGGACUGACCCAACACGAGAAGUAGUUCUCUCUUUAAACAACAUAUACGCUUUGUCCUUAGACCUGAGAUUGUCGCAUGUAUUCUAGAUGUGGAUCGACCUACUUAGGGGCUAUCAAACGCUACGCCGUAACAGGGUAGUUAUAAAGGUAGCUUUCGGGUUUGUCAAGAAGCAUGCUAUGAGAUAUGGUCAAUCAAGAUGGGAUUUGCCCCUCUCUGAUUGAGAGUGAUAUCUCUGGGCCCCUCGAGUGAUCGGAUCCGAAAAUGCAUGGCCAUGCUACGUACGGUUAAGAGUUAACCUACAAAGGGAUUCCGAAUCACAGGAUCGAGAAAGAGCGGUCAGCUUGAAGCUAGACCAAAUAUCGUGAGGCAAAGGGAAUAGCAUGUAUAUUAUGUUGUGAUGGUUCGUCUGAUAUGAUCUUCGUAUGCGUAUAGGAGUUGGCACGUCUUGCUAGAGGCCGCUACCGACUAUUGGGCCGAGUAGGAGUACUCGGGCCAUGUCUAUACGUAUCCGAACCCAUAGGGUCACACACUUAAGGGGCUGGAAGCCCAAUUCGGAUCUGAUCCGAGUUGGAUUAGGUUUAGGAGUGCUAAUGGGCCUCGGAUCCAGAGGCCCAUCAGGAACCUCUAUAAAUAGAGGGGUGGGGGCGCCCUAGGGUUUACACCUUUUGGCUGAACACACUUGCCGCGCCUCCCACGCCCUCGCCUGUUGCAACUCGCGGAUCUAGCAAUCCGGCUUGCGACGCUUCCUCCCUGCACGUGUGGAUACCUUGGAGGUGUUGCGCCUGCAGCACUUGGACGAGCCAUCGACGAGCCGCCGACGAGCCACGACGAGCCGACGACGAGCCGCGGCACCGGAGGCGAUCUUGCUGUGCACGUGGACGAGCUGCUGAGGAGCCGCUGGACGUGAUCGACUACGUACGACUACGUUGUUCGACUACGUACGACUACGUGAUCGUCUUCACUGCACCGACGCAUAUCUACAUCUUCCGCACCAGUAGUGCGUCGAGUGGUAAUCCCGUGAUCCUUAUACGGCAGUUCUUCCUGGUUAUACGCGGUAGAUUUUUGUUUUGCGCUAGCGUAGCCUACCUCGUAUCCCUACAGUGGUAUCAAGAGCCUUAGCUGCUUAGUUUUGAAUUCGGGAUGUGUGCAUAUGGAGAUAUGCGAGUUUUCUGUUUGAUCUAUGUCCUGGUUUCGUGCCCUUGCUGCAAUGGUAGUGUAACGACAUACUCCUACCGGUCGGUUUCCACCAUCGGAGUUAAGUGAUACACGUAAAUCCAGUUGCAGUGAAGGGAAGAUCAAUAUGAUUGGUCGAAUCGAGAUCCAGGGUCAUACGCCAGGCGCAUUAGAUGUGCAAUGGUAGAUGGGAUCUACUGCCGGGGUCGGGAUUUUGCCGUAUGCGCAUGCUUCGGUAAAUCAGCCGUAACUUUUCGGUAUGAUCUCGGAUCGGGGCGAUUUCUAUACGAAAAUUGAUCUACAGAAAAAGUUACACGUGAAUUUCAACCGCUUCGCCGUUUUCGGCGAAAUUAGAUUUGCCAAAUUCGGCUUGGAAGAUGGAGUUUCGGGCCUCCCAAGUUUGGAACGUUAGGACGCCUAACUCUCUUUUGCAGGAUGUAUCUUGUGAUCAGUAUGGCCCCCUUGUGUAUGUGAUGCAUGUGUGUAACUAAUUCGUGACCUGCGUGUCGCGCGUACGGCAACACGGCAGGAGCCAUAUGUGUUGUCACUUUAUUGUAUUUAAUGGUCUGCGUACCAAUCUGUGAUGAUCCAAGCAACUAUGUAAUCUUCAUUACUAGAUUCUUUACUAGCUAUUAGGCGUAAUAGCAUGCUCUAGUUCUUGGAGGACUCAUCACCAGGAGGAUGGCGCACAUGGAACAUGGAGAUGGAGAUCACCAUGGUGAACAGGUUCUAUGGAGAUGGAGAUCACCAUAUGAAAACGGGCCAUACUAUGUCACAAGCUGUGUGAAUGCUAUUCUGUUUAUGUUUUACUUUCUGCAUGCUGUGAUGUUAGAAGUAGAACGAUCCCUCGCAAAUUUUAAGUUAGUAUGCCCUCCCAACUAAAACUUGCACCGUCCCAUGUCUUGUACAAUUAGUGGUGGGUCUAUGAAAUUAGGGUGCCACUAGUUUUCCUUGACUAGAUGGGUUUGUGUCGGACACUUACACGCAUAAGGGUUGGUUUGCUUAACGAGGUCAUCUUAACGGUUAAGGACCUUGGGGCAUAAAGGUUGGGCGCCGAGACAUACAGAUGUCACCCAACAACAGGAGUCAUAUGUGAUAUGAUUAGCAAAAGUUGCUUACCGAUCUACCUCGUUUGCUAGCGGUGAUGCUAAAGCUCACUAGUAGACUUGUUAGUUGUGGAUUCUGAAUCACUAAGUUAGAGGGAUAUUGAUUUUAGUGGGAGUAGAUUCUGUUAAAAUAGUUUAAUGUAAUUUGCUCUAUCAUGGAUACGUUUGUCUUAGUGUAUUUUGCAUUACUUUUGUUGUAGAUUAAAUGGCACCUAGCAACACCACCACAUCGUUUGCUUUGCGUUCGGUCCUUGAGAAGGACAAGUUGAAUGGAACAAACUACUCGGAUUGGAUCCGCAACCUGAGAAUUGUUCUCAGGGCUGAGAAAAAGGAAGAUGUUCUAGACAACCCACUACCAGAAGAACCUGCUGAGGAUGCACCCGCUGCUGCUAAGAAUGCUUACAAGAAAGCAUGUGAUGCUAACCUUGAAGUAAGCUGCCUUAUGCUUGCUUGCAUGGAACCCGAGCUGCAAAUGCAGUUCGAAACAAACCAUGAGGCGCACGAUAUGAUCGUGGCGCUUAGAGACAUGUUCCAAACACAGGCCAGGACUGAAAGGUUCAAUGUGUCUAAGGCCUUUGUUGAGAGCAAGCUAGCAGAAGGCGCAGCAGUAGGACCACACGUGAUCAAGAUGGUUGGUUACACUCAACGGUUGGAGAAGCUAGGCUUCCCACUGGGCCAAGAGUUGGCCACUGAUUUCAUUCUUUCCUCUCUUCCGCCUAGCUAUGGGAACUUCAUCUCGAACUACCAUAUGCAUGGGACGGAGAAGGGAUUGAAUGAGCUGUGUGGUAUGCUCAAGACAGCAGAGGCUGACAUCAAGAAAAGCGCUAGUACCAGCCAUGUGAUGGCGAUACAGAACAAGCCCAGCUUUAAAAAGAAGGGCAAUUCUUGGAAGAAGAAGGGCAAGGCUGGAACGUCCAAGCCAAACCCACCGCCCAAGGUUAAAGCUGGACCUGGACCUGCUCCAGAUAAAGAGUGCUUUUACUGUCAUGAACUUGGUCACUGGAAGAGAAACUGCAAGCAGUACCUAGCUUCGUUGAAGAACGGCAGAAGUAAGAGUACUUCUACCUCAGGUACGCUUGUUGUUAAUGUUAUAGACAACAUAUUUCUCGCUGAUACAGUUAUUAAUUCUUGGGUAUUUGAUACCGGAUCGGUUGCUCAUAUUUGCAAUUCGAUGCAGGGAAUGAUAAGAAGUAGAAGCGUGGAAAGAGGAGAAGUUGAUUUCCGCGUGGGCAAUAAUGCAAGAGUUGCUGCUUUGACCGUCGGGACGAUGCAACUCCACCUCCCGUCAGGAUUUAUUAUGGAGUUGAAUAAUUGUUAUUUUGUUCCUAGUUUAAGUCGAAACAUUUUGUCUCCUUCAUGCUUGAUGAAGGAUGGUUAUUCAUUUGCAAGUGAAAACAAUGGUUGUGUGAUCUCUAAGAAUAAUAUGUUUAUGGCUUUUGCACCCAUUGUGAAUGGAUUGUUUGUUUUAAAUCUUGAUGGUUCACUUGUCUGUAAUAUAAGUGCUAAAAGGCCUCGGCCUAAUGAUUUGAGUCCUACCUACUUGUGGCAUUGUCGUUUGGGUCAUAUAAGUGAAAAGCGCAUGAAGAAGCUCCAUUCUGAUGGACUUCUAACUUCGUUUGAUUUUGAAUCAUACGAGACAUGUGAGGCUUGCUUGCUAGGCAAGAUGACCAAGACGCCUUUCACAGGAUUUCCUGAGAGAGCAGUAGACUUGUUGGAACUCGUACAUAGUGAUGUAUGCGGACCAAUGAGCACGACGGCUAGAGGAGGAUUCCAAUACUUCAUAACUUUCACUGAUGAUUUUAGUAGAUAUGGCUAUGUCUACUUGAUGAGACACAAGUCUGAAACCUUUGAAAAGUUCAAGGAAUUUCAGAAUGAAGUUGAAAAUCAGCGUGGCAAGAAAAUUAAGGCCUUACGAUCUGAUCGUGGAGGCGAGUAUUUGAGCCACGAGUUUAGCAAUCAUCUAAAGAGUUGCGGAAUUGUUCCACAACUUACGCCGCCUGGAACACCUCAGAGAAACGGUGUGUCCGAGCGACGUAAUCGAACUUUGUUAGACAUGGUUCGAUCAAUGAUGAGCCAGUCGGACCUACCGUUGUCAUUUUGGGGAUACGCUCUAGAAACAGCAGCUUUCACACUAAAUAGGGUACCAUCUAAAUCCGUAGUUAAGACACCAUAUGAGAUAUGGACUGGAAAGGUUCCCAGUUUGUCUUUUCUAAAGAUUUGGGGAUGUGAAGUGUUUGUCAAGCGACUUCAGUCGGACAAGAUCACACCCAAGUCGGAUAAAUGCAUUUUCGUGGGAUAUCCAAAGGAAACUUUGGGAUAUUAUUUCUACAACCGAUCAGAAGGCAAAGUGUUUGUCGCUCGGAACGGGGUUUUCUUAGAGAAAGAGUUUCUCAAAGGAGAAAAGAGUGGAAAGACAGUGCAUCUUGAAGAAGUUCAAGAUGAGCCAAUCGGGCAAGAAUCAAUGAGUGAUGCUAACGUAGCAGAACAAGUUGAGAUACCCAUGGCAAGAGAAGCACCGCCACAACCACGAAGGUCGGCAAGGCUCCGCGAAAUGCGAGAAAUAUUAUUGUUGGACAAUGAUGAGCCUGCGACAUAUGCAGAAGCAAUGAUGGACCCAGACUCCGAAAAAUGGCAGAGUGCCAUGCAAUCCGAAAUAGAGUCCAUGGGAGACAAUCAAGUUUGGAACUUGGUUGACCCGCCUGAUGGUGUUAAAGCCAUAGAGUGCAAGUGGAUCUAUAAGAAGAAAAAGGACAUGGAUGGAAAUGUUCACAUCUAUAAAGCACGACUUGUCGCAAAAGGUUUUCGACAAGUUCAAGGAGUUGACUACGACGAGACCUUCUCGCCCGUAGUGAUGCUUAAGUCCAUUCGGAUUAUUCUAGCUAUAGCUGCAUAUUUUGAUUAUGAGAUAUGGCAGAUGGAUGUCAAGACAGCUUUCCUGAAUGGAAACCUAGCUGAGGACGUGUAUAUGAUACAGCCCGAGGGUUUUGUCGAUCCGAAAAAUGCUGGAAAGGUAUGCAAGCUUCAGAGAUCCAUUUAUGGAUUGAAGCAAGCAUCUAGGAGUUGGAACAUUCGUUUUGAUGAAGUGGUCAAAGGGUUUGACUUCACCAAGAACGAAGAAGAGUCUUGUGUUUACAAGAAGGUUAGUGGGAGCUCUGUAGUAUUUCUAAUCUUAUAUGUGGAUGACAUAUUACUGAUUGGAAAUAACAUUCCUAUGCUUGAGUCCGUAAAGACUUCACUGAAAAAUAGUUUUUCGAUGAAGGACUUAGGGGAAGCGGCAUAUAUUCUGGGCAUUAAGAUCUAUAGAGAUAGAUCGAGAAGGCUUAUAGGUUUGAGCCAAGAUACUUAUAUUGACAAAGUGUUGAAGCGGUUCAGCAUGGAAGAGGCAAAGAAAGGGUUCUUGCCUAUGUCACAUGGCAUACAUCUCAGCAAGACUCAGUGUCCUUCGACUGCUGAUGAGCGGGAUCGCAUGAGUAGAGUACCAUAUGCCUCGGCUAUUGGAUCUAUCAUGUAUGCAAUGAUAAGUACUCGCCCAGAUGUUUCAUAUGCGCUAAGUAUGACAAGCAGACACCAAUCUGAUCCAGGUGAGAGUCACUGGACAGCGGUGAAAAACAUUCUUAAGUACUUGAGAAGGACUAAAGAUAUGUUCCUCGUCUAUGGAGGUCAGGAGGAGCUCGUUGUAACAGGUUACACCGAUGCUAGUUUCCAAACCGACAGAGAUGAUUCAAAGUCACAAUCAGGAUUUGUGUUCACACUGAAUGGUGGUGCUGUUAGUUGGAAGAGUUCCAAGCAGGAGACGGUGGCCGAUUCUACGACGGAAGCCGAGUACAUCGCGGCUUCGGAAGCCGCGAAGGAAGGUGUUUGGAUUAGGAAUUUCCUCAUUGAGCUUGGUGUGUUCCCGAAUGCGUCCAGCCCAUUGAAUCUCUACUGUGAUAACAAUGGGGCAAUUGCGCAAGCAAAGGAGCCAAGGAACCACCAGAAGAACAAACACGUAAUGCGGCGAUUUCAUCUCAUUCGAGACUUCAUUAACCGGGGUGAGAUCAAGAUAUGCAAAAUACACACGGAUCUGAACAUUUCUGAUCCGUUGACAAAACCACUCCCGCAGGCUAAGCAUGAUGCGCAUGUAAGAGCUAUGGGUAUUAGGUACCUUCUAGAUUGACUCUAGUGCAAGUGGGAGACUGUUGGAGGUAUGCCCUAGAGGCAAUCAUAGAGAUGAUGAUAUUCCAUUUGUAUCCAUGAUUUGUAUAUUGUGUUCAUUGAAUAUCCAUUAAAGGCUACUUGAAUUGAUUUGCAAUUAUGUGAAUUGUAUGUGAAACUCUUUACUUGUAUGGUUAUUCUAAAGUUGUCCCUAGUCGGAGUUCAUGUGAGGACACACAUGAAUAUCAGACUAGCACAUGUAUUAGUUGAUGACUAUGUUUCACAAGUCAUGGACAUGGAGAUGUUGAACUAAUAAUGUGGACACAUGUGGAGACAUGUGUUAGGACUGACCCAACACGAGAAGUAGUUCUCUCUUUAAACAACAUAUACGCUUUGUCCUUAGACCUGAGAUUGUCGCAUGUAUUCUAGAUGUGGAUCGACCUACUUAGGGGCUAUCAAACGCUACGCCGUAACAGGGUAGUUAUAAAGGUAGCUUUCGGGUUUGUCAAGAAGCAUGCUAUGAGACAUGGUCAAUCAAGAUGGGAUUUGCCCCUCUCUGAUUGAGAGUGAUAUCUCUGGGCCCCUCGAGUGAUCGGAUCCGAAAAUGCAUGGCCAUGCUACGUACGGUUAAGAGUUAACCUACAAAGGGAUUCCGAAUCACAGGAUCGAGAAAGAGCGGUCAGCUUGAAGCUAGACCAAAUAUCGUGAGGCAAAGGGAAUAGCAUGUAUAUUAUGUUGUGAUGGUUCGUCUGAUAUGAUCUUCGUAUGCGUAUAGGAGUUGGCACGUCUUGCUAGAGGCCGCUACCGACUAUUGGGCCGAGUAGGAGUACUCGGGCCAUGUCUAUACGUAUCCAAACCCAUAGGGUCACACACUUAAGGGGCUGGAAGCCCAAUUCGGAUCUGAUCCGAGUUGGAUUAGGUUUAGGAGUGCUAAUGGGCCUCGGAUCCAGAGGCCCAUCAGGAACCUCUAUAAAUAGAGGGGUGGGGGCGCCCUAGGGUUUACACCUUUUGGCUGAACACACUUGCCGCGCCUCCCACGCCCUCGCCUGUUGCAACUCGCGGAUCUAGCAAUCCGGCUUGCGACGCUUCCUCCCUGCACGUGUGGAUACCUUGGAGGUGUUGCGCCUGCAGCACUUGGACGAGCCAUCGACGAGCCGCCGACGAGCCACGACGAGCCGCGGCACCGGAGGCGAUCUUGCUGUGCACGUGGACGAGCUGCUGAGGAGCCGCUGGACGUGAUCGACUACGUACGACUACGUUGUUCGACUACGUACGACUACGUGAUCGUCUUCACUGCACCGACGCAUAUCUACAUCUUCCGCACCAGUAGUGCGUCGAGUGGUAAUCCCGUGAUCCUUAUACGGCAGUUCUUCCUGGUUAUACGCGGUAGAUUUUUGUUUUGCGCUAGCGUAGCCUACCUCGUAUCCCUACAGCGUCAACGCCAUAACAAAUGCUCCUCAACCGCAAUCGUGCCGUACGAAAGCAAGCGCACCAAAAAUCUCCUAGAUGAUCGGCAACUUUGAAAUUAUGUGUUGGAACGUGAGAGGCCUAAAUGCCCCCGCUAGAUGUCUAACAAUCCGUGAAACUAUUGCGACGACAACGUGCCACAUAGCAUGUCUGCAAGAAACGAAGUUGCAAAAUAUUGACGCGGCCCUAGCAAACCUCCUGGGGGGACCUCGUUUAAAUCAAUUUACAUACAAACCGGCUUCAGGCACAAAGGGAGGAAUCCUCCUCCUCUAGGAUGACAGGGUCUUCGACAUGCAGAACAUCCAAACGGGGGCAUUUCUCUAUAUCAGCAACAGCAACAGUAAAAUACUAUGACAUGCACUUUCGACUCACGACGGUAUACGGCCCAUCACGACACUCGGCAAAGACUACUUUCCUACGCCACCUAUGGGCCAUGAGACCUGACGAUGACGCCAAGUGGCUCGUACUAGGCGAUUUCAACCUAAUAUACAGCGCAAGAGACAAGAAUAACAACAACCUAAACCGGAGGCUAAUGAGGAGUUUCAGAGCAACGCUAAAUCACUGCGGCCUCAAAGAAAUACACUUACAAAACAGGAUUCACCUGGAGCAAUGCAAGGCAUCGACCAACCUUAUCGCUGAUCGACCGAGUCUUCUGCAACGAACCUUGGGACCUAAACUUCGAUGAUCAUGUCCUACACGCCCUCUCUUCCUCACACUCGGAUCACUGCCCUUUGCUACUGGCACAACAAUCUGGUCCUCGUAAGCUGACGCCUUUUAAAUUUGAAAACUUCUGGCCGCGCUUACUAGGAUUCUAUGAAGUAGUCACCCAGGAAUGGUCAAAGGCAACGGUCCACACUGAACCAUUCCACAGACUGGGACACAAGCUGCACAAAACGGCCCAAGCACUGCGAUCCGGGAGCCGAUUGCUCAUCUCGGAUGCCCAAUUAAAAAUGCACAUGGUCCAAGAAGUCAUCCUGCACCUCGAUAUAGCUGAGGAAACAAGAACACUCACUGAACCGGAACACGACUUGCGUAGCAAGCUCAAAAAAAGGCUCCUGGGAUGGGCGGCCCUAAAAAAAAAUAAGGAAAAAACAAUGCUCCAAGAUAACCUACCUGCGCGAGGGCGACGCUAACACAAGGUUUUUCCAUCUCAAGGUGAACGCUAGAAAGAGAAAAAACUUCAUCCAACGGCUAAAGAAAGAAAGCGGCUGGGCAGUAACUCACCUAGACAAACAGCAGGUAAUCCAAAAUCACUUCGAAAGCGUGAUGUCCAUGCCAACCACUCGCGCCAAAGAUAUAAAUUGGGACAAGUUGCAAUUCCCAGAGGUGGACUUAACGGAAUUGACAACCCUUUUUCGGACGAGGAAAUACUACAAGCAAUAACUGACUUGCCAAAAAACAAAGCGCCGGGACCGGACGGCUUCACUGGUCUGUUCUUCAAAUCGUGCUGGAACAUAAUCAAAGGUGAUGUCAUAGCGGCUGUAAACGCCUUCCACAGCGUCCGAUGCAAGGACCUCAAUCUAGUCAACUCAGCCAACAUUGUCCUUAUACCCAAAAAGGAGGGUGCCGAAAGCAUCAGGAACUUUAGACCAAUAAGCCUCAUACACGCCAUUGCAAAGAUCAAUAGCAAAAUCCUUGCAAUAAGACUACAGCCGUAUAUGGAGGAACUGAUAUCACCAAGCCAAAGCGCCUUCAUCAAAGGAAGAAGCAUUCAUGACAACUUCAUGUAUGUCCGAAACAUGGUGCGCCGAUUUCACAAGUACAGAACGCCAACACUGCUAAUGAAGCUGGACAUCUCAAGGCCUUUGACUCCGUGCGCUGGGAUUACCUACUCUCACUAAUGCAACAUAGAGGCUUCCCCAAGCGCUGGCGGGACUGGAUAACUGCACUACUGGCCACAUCCACCUCAAAAGUCCUGGUCAAUGGACUCCCGUCCAACCCAAUCGCACAUGGACGAGGACUACGACAAGGAGACCCGUUAUCCUCCUUCCUCUUCAUCCUUGCGAUAGACCCACUGUACCAACUAAUACACAAGACGACGGAAAUGGGACUACUCAACAAGCUCGGAGGACGUACACCACGCACAAGCAUCUCCAUGUAUGCUGACGACGCGGUCAUAUUUAUAAAACUGACACAAGCGGACGUCGCAAACGCAGCAAAGUUGUUGAACCUUUUCGGAGAGGCAACUGGGCUUAAAAACAAACCUACAAAAGACAAUUGUGGCUCCCAUCAGCUGCGAUAACGUGGACCUCGAAGAAAUUCUCUCAGAGUUGCCGGUAACUCGCACAGGCUUCCCAAUAAGAUACCUCGGACUACCACUUGCGAUAAGGUGCCUAAAGAAACUAGAUUAUCAGCCCCUAAUGGACAAAGCAGCACAUAAGCUUUCCGGAUAGCACGGACACAACCUUACUCAAGCAGGACGGGUUUGCCUCACCAAAGCGGUGCUUUCCGCGCAACCAUUAUACCUGCUAACGGUAAUAAAAAUGCCAAACAAAGUACUAGACGAACUAGACAAAAUAAGGAAAAGAUUCCUCUGGGCCGGAGACAAAACGCUCACAGGUGGAAAAUGCAAGGUCAACUGGAUCAAAUCCUGCUUACCAAAAGCAAAUGGCGGGUUAGGAGUGCUAAACCUCCACAAGUUUGCUCAAGCGUUGAGACUGCGAUGGCUUUGGCACGAGUGGGAGUCACCGCAAAAAAACAUGGACUGGAACAGGGACACCAUGCGACGACACGGACCAUCGCUUGUUCGCGGCAUGCACAACAAUCACAGUGGGUAAUGGACGCAAAACAAGCUUCUGGCAUUCAGCCUGGGGCAAGGUGUUAGACCAAAGGACAUUGCGCCCAACAUAUAUGCACUAUCCGAGGGGAAAAAAGAAAGCUAGCAGAGGCCUUAUGCGACAACAGCUGGGUUAGGGACAUAAACAUUCACGGAGGACUGACAACGCGGCAUCUACAAGAAUUUGUAACACUCUGGCGUCUAGCAGCAAUGGUGCAGCUGCAACCGCAACAGAAAGACACAAUUCGAUGGAAGUUCACGUCCACCGGAAAAUAUUCAGCGGCCUCAGCAUACAAGGCACAGUUCCUAGGAUCCACUAAUGCACCACAUUACAAAACAAUAUGGUAUUGCUGGGCGCCCCGAAGUGCAAGUUCUUCGCAUGGCUAAUCCUCCAAAACCGUGUAUGGACAUCCGAUCGACUUGCGCGAAGAGGAUAGCCUCACUCCCCUGCAUGCCCCUUAUGCCGAGCACAACAGGAGACGGCCCAUCACCUAGUGGCUGAGUGCAGAUACACCAAGCGAAUAUGGAGCCUAGUAGCCACAUGGACGUCGCAGCCAAGCAUACAACCCUCAGAAUGGCGUCCAACCGACAACACCCUGGAAUGGUGGAUGAACAUGACUACAAAAACCGAAGCUACUCGGAAGGGAACAUGCUCCAUGGCGUUGCUGGUUAUAUGGGAAAUUUGGAAGGAGCGGAAUAGGCGAAUAUUCAACCGACAAGAGAUGGCAGCACUCUCACUGGUGGCCAAAAUCAAGGAGGAAGCCGGUGCAUGGAUACUAGCAGGAGCAAAAGCUUUAGCGGGUUUUUCAUCUAGAGAGUAAUCGUGUAACGAGUGUACAAAUUUUGAAACACUUCUGUAAUCAUCUACUCUAUCAAUGAAAUAGGCAUUGUCCCGUGCCCAUUCGUUCAAAAAAAAAGAUAGUAAGUAUUGGACUAUAUAUUGGUCUUUCAUGCAAUAUGCACUUCAUUCGUGAUGAAGGCAUCUCAAGGAACUACUGUGGACGGACCUAGUUGCUACAUAUAGUUUUUUUUUUCCGAAAGGAUGGCAAGAGAUUUGCUGCGAAUUUUAUUAGAUGAGAAAAAAAACAAAAAGAAGAUUGGUACAGAGAUCCCCGAGAAAUAUAGAUGACUCGACUAAAGAGUUCACAUAAUUGUAAUGGUGCAUUUGCAAUAUGACUACAUCAUGACAUCAUAACCUACUGAAAGCUUGAAUAUAAUUCUACAUUUCAACUUUUGUACUCGCUAGAAAUAAAUGGAGCAUCGUAAAAUUGUAUUAAAAAACAAAUAAGCCUUUGGGGUCAGAUUUUUUGUUCAAAAAUUCCUCUGGAGUCUUUGCUGGGCUUGGCUAAAUUAGGAAUAUGAUAUGGCCUCUUCGCCGAGUUGACACGACAUGCCACAUCUGUGUAGCGGUGGGUACACACACAGGAGGGAAAUACGUUUCAGGGGAGGAAAACGGGGCCCAUUAAGCAGCCCCAGAUGAACACCCUGUCCAUUCAAUCCACCAUAAAACACCCCGUUGUAACUCCCACUAGCACGAUAAAAAGGGCAGGCGCCACCGGUCGUGCCUCUUGUUUAACGCAGCUUCACAUCCCUCACUGUUCCCUUCGCUACCACACGCUAGGCAAAUGGAAGAUGAGAGGAAGAGAACCAAGCUCCGCAAAUCCUUGCAGCUCUACCUUAGCAGGACGCUCAAGAAGAUCCCGCCGAUGCACAUCCCCAGCUCGGCCAUUCCAGCGAACAUCGCCGGCGCUCGCCUCCUCUCCACAUGCAGGUUCCCAAGAACCGCGUCGGUGGACAUGGACGGCGGCGUGAUCACCGCCGCCACGACCGCCGCCGUUAACGAGAGCGGCAAGGAGCAGGCGGCAACGCUCUCCGACGUCGACCGCUUCCUCUUCGACAACUUCCGGUCCCUCUACAUCCACGACAACAACAACAAAGAUCCAUGCUUCCCGUCAUCGUCGCCAGGCACAUCCACAUCGCUUGCCGACGAGACACAACCAAAGGCAGAGACGUUGUCUUCGUCGGAGUCGAUCGCGGAAGACAUCAACAAGGAAGCCUGCAGGGCAGGUGAGGAGAGCGGCGACAACACGGCCAUAGUGGUGUUCUCCAUGGACCCGUACACAGACUUCCGGAGAUCCAUGGGGAACAUGAUAAAGAUGCACCAUGGCCGCAUAUCACAGCCACUGGACUGGGACUUCCUUGAGGAGCUGCUCUUUUACUACCUGCAGCUCAACGAUCAGGCUGUGCACAAGCACAUCCUCAAGGCCUUUGCUGACUUGACUGCCGGAACUCAUCAAAAGGGCAGUUCAGCCCCUGGAAAAGCCCAGUGGGCUGACAAGAGCGUUAGGAGUAGGAAACGUUAGUUCGGAUGGACGGAUGGUAACUGUUAAUUCAGAAAUUGUACAACUCAAAAGCAAGAAAUGACAUCCAUUCAGUGUUUUGUGCUUGCUCUUCAAGGGUACAGGCAUGAAACAGCAAGCAGCAUGCUGCAUUUCAACCUUCAAGUUUCCGGACACUCGGUCAACUGACCAUACUACAGAAGAGAAUCAAUUUGGGGGGCGAAUCAGAUUUGAGCAGCAGGCAGAUAAAAAGAGGAAGCUAACUUAACCCUCCUAACAGUUUUACAGCAUACAUCAAGAAUGCUUUGAUUCAUGAUCCAAUCAUCAUACGGGAGGCUGCUCAUGGUAUUCUGCGUUUAACAGCAAAGUAUCACAGGAUGCCAUCAUGUUGUUUCAGCCAUUGAGUGACAUAUCAUAAAGCAUACUUCUAUUACCCAGAAGGCAUAAUUCCAACUGUGAAGAGAAGAAAAUACAGCCACAGACAAGUAAUAUAUAAACAAAUACAGCACUGGAUCUGAAUUUUUUUACAUUGAAUAAGCUAAACCUUGCCGAUCAGAAGUUUAUCAUAUUAAUAAAUAUACCUGCAAUUGUCUGCAAUUCAGCUUGAUAAAAAAAACAGGACGAUCUUUUGUCAGAGGAACUUGAUAGACUUAUUUCUCAGGAAUACAAGGGGAAAAUUAAAUUUCAUGCGGGCAUAGACAUGAAGGAUGAUAUGGCAAGAGUGUAACCAGAAAAGGUAUAGGAAGCCUGAAUUCCCAUUAUAUUUGAAAAAGGUCAAUGGAUCCUCUUCUUAUGUGCUUAACAAGCUUAAAGUGGAUUUUGGCAUGUGCUUUUUUUUCCUCGGAUUCCAGAACUGCCAUAUCACAUUCUAAAAAUAAUUGCAUGCAUCUCAAGAAUGUGAGCAUGUUCUGUUGACAAAUAGUUAUGUGUCAAGUACAACUAGCCCUGCAGUUAUCACUAAUAAAAAUAUGAUGCAUAAACAACAGAAGUGCCUUUAUACAAGAGAAAAGGCUGUCAUCAUGCACUGCAAACACUAUAUUUUUGAACAAGCUGCUCGUAUAAUGGAAGAUGGUUCUUUGGAACAAAAACCCUGAACCUGUAAAGGAAAGGGGAACAAUUGGGUAUAAACAAAGGUGCAGUAGCAUGAGGGAACAAACAGCAAAGGAAGAUUCAAUAACAAGUGAAAAUGCCAAGAAAUGUAAUGUUACCCUUCAAGAAGUGGAAGUCUUCCUGGAGAGGAGAAAAGCUUUGCUAUUGCUUCAAGUGAGUCUUUGAUAUGCAUAGUUUUCAAUUUUAAGGCCUUCAUAAAUUCAACAAACUCUUUGUACUCUGCGCCACUAAGCUUUUCUCGAGCCUAGUAAACAUACCCAAAUUGAAGGAACAACAAUGUAAAUGAUGCAAAGAUUAUCAUAUUAACAAUAUAGCAUUUAUUCUACAAAGCAUGACAUGAGAUCCAAGUACAGUGAAAGAGCAGCAUACCAGCCUCAAGAAGGCUGUCCCUGAGUUAGAUUCCUGGCCUUCAGAUUUUUCACAGAUACCCUCAUUCUUUCCACAUGCUUUUUCUGUGGUACAUUUCUUUGAUUGAGGUGUAGAUCCUUCACCCUGGUAUCUGGCCAAAGUUCUUGACUCAAUAUUUUGAGGUGAUUUGGCAGAGAUGUCAUCCGAGCCAACAGCAUCUUUGGAUCUAUCCAUUAGUUUAGCCUUUUUAAGCCCUAAAGGUUUGAAGGUAUGUUCCUUCAGAUGCCCAUGUACUGCCACAUCAUCAGUCAUAUUAACAACCUUAGUAUCCUGUGACAGUUGGUCUUCAGAGAAGAGCUGCGACAUCGAUGUAGAGUUGUGCUUUGUAGUAAGGGUAGAACGAUUGGCAGGAGUGAUCUGAGCCAACUUCAUAAAGUUACUCCUCUUCGUGGUCGAACUUACUGAUAAUGUAAUUUGUGGGCACUCAUUUUGUGCCCUGGCAGCCUAGCACAAGAAAGACAGCAUCUGUAAGCCAAAGGGGCAUUAAACUAAAUCAUGCUCAGCUAUGUCAAUGCAAUGGAUUUACCGAAUCUGAUAGAUUCUCUUGAGGCAUGCAUUUGUUUGUAACUGGUGCUAUACAAUCUGCAUGUAACAACAUUUUCAAAACAAGUAGCACAUAAAUAACAAUUGCUAAGAGAAAUAGCAAAGCAGCACAAAGAGAAGUAAUUAAAUGCCAAAUUUCCAUAUUGCAUUCUGUCAACAAAAUUAAACAAAUCAAGUGAGGCUGCACAAAAUUCUGGUUGUCCUUUUAUAUAGUUGCAUUGCAUAUACAAAAAAAAACACAGUUUGGAUCACAUAACUCAUGCUGUAGAUAUUCAAAACAUAAUCAACACCAUUCGGUGGAGUAGAGCUGGCACUGUGUUUCUAUCUGUAGAGAAACUCUUGCUGGGAUCAUAAAUAUAAGAAACUGAAAUAUGUAUAAUCAUGAAUUGAAUUAUUCUUUCUUCUGAGUCAUAGGUUGAUUCGUACCUUGCACAGCUAUAAAUUAGAUUAAAUGUUGUUCAAAUUAUGUAUUCAAAUUUGACAAAAAUCCUUCUCAGUUACAAGCACAUCAUGAGGAACUAAAAAUGGCAUUUUAAAUUACAAGCAUACAAGAUGCAAAAUUUGAAUCCCCACAGCUUGCUAGAAAAUAGAAAGGAGUGUAAGCCCACAGGCAUCAAUUUGGUAAAAGGCAGCCACUGUAGGUGAAUUUUGUUGAUUUAGUCCCGUUCUGUUCAAGUUUGUAAAUCAAGCCCUUCUAGCUCACUGCUAUUUUCUUGAUCCUAAACUUCCUACAUAUAUCUAAAUGGGCCCUUACAAACAUAUGGCUAGUGAAUUAAUGGCACUUCUACUAAUACUAACAUGGAGUUGUGGACUGUUAUCUCAAGUUUGACAGGGUAACCUCCUACAACCCUUAACAAAUAUCAUUAACAAGCACACUGGGUUAAGUUUCAAAAGGAAAUUACUUAAAAUAUUUAAGUGUAUGUGAACUUGUGUAUAAAAAAGAUAGAAACAGAUAAAGAAGUCUAUCACACUAUUCAAAACUAUAUCUUUACCAUUACAAUCUGUUUGUUUUAGCUUUAAAGGAUCUGAAGUAGCUUUAUCUCGAAAAAAACGGGUCAAUCCUUGGACUACUUCCCCAUACUUUGAGUAGCACUGCAGAAAGAAUAUAAAGCAUAGUAAAGAUACCAGCAAAGAGCAUUGUAGGAAGACAGUAAAUAAAUGCACCUUUAUAUAAGGUCGGAGCCAAUACGACAUCUGAGAUUGAUAAUUUGACCACGCAAACCUAUAGCCAACAUGCAAUGUAAAGCAACUUUGUUAAUUUGAAAUGCUAAUUGUUCUGUAGAAGUUUGACUGAAACAAGCAACAUGGUUCGAGAUGCAAAAGCUUGUGCAUAACCACAUGUUCCUUAAAAUUGCAUACUUAGCUAAAAAAAUGGAAAGACUAUUUUGAGAUUUUUAAAGUGUUGAUCCUUUUUGGGUAUCACUCUAGGGAUUACAAUAUGGAACCUAAAGUGUAGUACACUGAUUGCAACAUACAUGAAUAACAGAAAAAAAAAGUGAACUCUUUCUUGGUUUCAAUAGGACUCCUUAGGGCAGCUCCAGAGUGCGAUUUUAGGAGGUGCGAAGAAGAGAGAGAAAAUGGUUGAGGAGGUGCAAACGUUGGAGCGUUUUUCUUCGGGUAAAGCUAACGAAGCACCGGAGCCUGAAUAUGCACCCAGUGUGAGCGGAAAAGGCAUAGCACGGGACCCGCCACAGCAUGCAAACAGAGAGAGAUAGUGCGCAUGGUUGAUGGGGGAAGAGUAUUUUAUCUCUACUAGGGCCCACAUUUAGAAUUCUUAAGCAAACCAAACGCUGGAGCGUUUAUUUACUUUCAAAGCACCUGCUGACCUGCCUCCCUUUGCACCCUGUGUAAAGGAUAUACGCUAUAGUUGCCCUUAAUGUUCUCUCUGUAUCUAGUACUACCUCCGUUCUUAAAUAUAUGAUGCCAUUGACUUUUUUCAUUAGUUUGACUAUUCGUCUUUUCUACAAAAAAUUAUGCAAAUAGUAAAUCUACAAGUUAAACCAAAAGUCCUUUCGAUGAUAGAUCCAGCAGUAGAGUACCCAUUUUACAUUAUUUAACUAAUUGAUUAAAUAAAUAUUGUUAGUCAAAGUUUGAGAAAAAAAGUCAAUGGUAUCAUAUAUUUAAGAACGGAGGGAGUAUUAACUAAAAAAAUCAAAUUAUAAUGACUGGACAAAACCAAGAAACAACUCCUUAUGUGUGAAAUGUCACGGCAGGUUGCGCCGACCAUGACCGAAAUUAUAGCAGAUCCCCUUUGAGAUCAAAGACUGUGCUAGCAUCUACUACACCAGGAACAUCAAGAAAUAUUUGACAGCCCAGCACAAUAAAUAACAGAUUUCUGUGGAAGUCGAGCACAAAACCAACAAUGCUUAGAUUCCUUGCUUAGAGGACUAUAAUUAGGCCUACCUUUCGUCACAAUAGAUAAUAGCUCCAUAGUCAUGGCGAUGUCUGAUAACACGUCCAACAGCCUGAUUCACAGCCCUUGCUGCUUGUUGUGUAUACCAUUCCUGUCCUGUCAACAUCUACAAAACAAUCACAAGAACUUUUUGUAAAAUUGACCAGCAAAGGUCCGCUUGACAAUUUACUAUGAAAUUAUUGAACCUUUGUGUUAUUAUUAGAUGCUGCGCCCUGCUUAUCCAAAUACUCACGCUUCAGCCGAACCUGGAACAGACACAAAGGAAAAUUGCAAGAUUAACUAGGCCAAUUACUCUUGCCGAAAGCCAAAGAGCAUAAAAGUUUGUGCAAUAUGGUAAAAAGCUCGUGCAGGUUAAUGAGCAAGGAAGCAAAGAAAAAAGUAUUUUAUCAGAAGAAAACCCAAAAAAUGAUGACAAAAUCCUUCCAGACUUAGCAUUAAUUCAACUUAUCCAAAAACCCAAUGAAGUAUGUGUGUGUGAAUAUCUACACAUGAACCCAGCUCAACAUACAAAGCCAGCAAAAUUGAAUAUUUUCGGUACAUAAUUGCCAGUGCCAAACGCACCAAUAGGAAAGUAACAAAAGGGACAUUCUUGCCUUUUAGAAAAGUUUUAGUUAGACAAUUCAGCAUAAUACAGAUAGAAAUAAACCUUAGGAUCAGUUGGGGUAGCAAAGGGCAUUCCAGUAACUAUUACUGCCCUCCCAGCACGGUCAGCAAAAUCAAGACCCUCACUAACCUGUGAAAGUACAAAAAUGCAUAAAUGAGGGAGGUAAACUUAAAGAUUAGCGAAAAAAGAAACAUUUUGGGAGUGGUACUCCCAGCACACAGGAGAGCUACGUAUCAUUAUAUUAACAAGAAGACAGGAUUUGGAACCCAUACAACACCACACAAUUGUACUAUUUGGCCCCUGCCAUAAUUUGAGACUUUUUUGUUCCAUUAGUACACUAUUUGGCCCCUGCCAUCAAAUUAAACUGACUUAGAAAAUUACCCCCGUCCUUUUUUCGUCAUCAAUUCUUUUGUGACCCCGCCAUUGUUUACUUCUAUAGCUCAAUGACUUGUAUUUUACUCAUAAGAUCAGAAAUAAGCCUUCUGUGUUCAUGGUCUCGUACUCAUCCUUUCCGCAGAGCAUUAACGAAAUUUUUAGCUUUAUAAAUGUAAUGCAUUUAUCAUCAUUACAGCACCCAAAGAUUUACUAUAUGCUGUUAAGCAUGUUUUAUCUUUCAGCAGACAAAAAAAGAAGUAAGCAUAGCAGUUAUAAAAAAUAAAUUUGAAUCAUACAGACUUGCAAAAAAAAUCAUUCAACACAAGAACAUUGAAAGUGAACCUAAAAUCAAGAGAAGUUGGAACAGAAAGCAAAGGAAGCUGUUACGGUGAAAAAGAACAAACUUUGCCACGACAAACUGCAAAAAAUAUUGCCCCAGAAGUAGAAGAAUCAUUUAAUUUCGCUGCAUAAUCCUGCAAAUCAAAUGGUUCACAAUUAUAUGAGCAUAUGAAGUGUUUAAAGUUCAAGUGUAUGUAGUAACAUAUUUCAUAACCUCAAUUGCAUUUGGAAAGUUUGAUGACUGCCUAGGCUCUAUAACUGGCUGCUUGUGCUUACAGAUUCGCUGCCAUAUCGUGUUCUCAGCUGCUGAACUUGAAUGGUUCUGUAAGAGAUUAAAUUAUAAAUGUCUAAGGAUAAGUACUUCAAGUGAUUAGAACUAUGAGUCAGAAAUUAGGAAUACCCUAUUUUUCCAGAAUUCGAUGCACUUAUCCAUCAUAGAAUAUGAAGGGAAGAAAACAAGGAGUCCGUCUGGCACAAUGCGUGCGAAGUUUACUGUAAAAUGAGCAAAUAUGUCAGCAGAACUAUAUCAGAAUAAAAGCAACUGAAUUUUGUUACUAUUGGCCUACCUAUAGCAUUACCCAAUUCUUGUUUAUAUUGUAUAGUCUCACGCGUGCGAUAAGAAGAAUUAAGUGCAUGUCCAGAAGGGCCCACAGGCACAACUCCAACCCAGAUUUGAUCUGGGGAAAUGACAUGAGGAUUCUCUAGUCUAACUGGGAAUUCACUGGAUUCAUGGAAAACUUAUCUUGAUAAUCAACAUCAAAUAGAGAAACCAAUAUCGAUAAGCAACCAACAAAGCUAUAAGUCAACGAUAACGAUUAACUAAAUAGAUUUGCUUACAGGUUUAGUUCCAUGGCUAGUGAAUCCAGGGGGGAUAAAGUGCCAGAAGUUAAUAUAAUAGAGCGAACACCCAACUUGAGAAAUUCUUCCAUUGCGAGCCCUGGGUUGAAACACCACCAACUAAGGGUUCUUGAAGAUUUACCUGCGAAUACAAGAAAAUUGUAGACAAUUGGAUGUAUAGUUAUUCAGUUGCUGAGGAGGCUAAGUAAAGAGUACACAUUAUCUUAUUUGAAGGGACCAUGUCUGAUAGGAAUCAAUGUAAUUAUUCUAAGCAUGCAGUUUAGAAUUGAGCAAUGAAAUGUACCAUGUAUCACAUGUGUUUUUUCCUUUAAAUAAUCAACUAUAUCUGGAAGAAGUCAGUGGAAUAAUACUAUGCAUGCUGUCCAUAGUGAGCAAUGAACUGUAUCAGGGAUUACAGACUUUUUCGUUCAUAUAAAGAACAUAUGUUACAUAUCAACUUUGAACUUACCCAGAACUUUCAAUGCGUCUCCAGAUGUUUGCUGAAAUUCGUUCACAUGAAACUGGAAAGAUUGAGUAUGAUCGUAAGAGUACAGUAAAGUAUGCAAAGCUUAUGCUGCAAAUACAAAUAGAGAGGGUUGGAUGGAAAUAACUUAAUUGGAUGAACACACAUUGAAAAUGAAUGGAUUAUGCGAUCAGAGAGAAACACAGAACUGAAGAGAAACUUACUCGAUAAUAUUUUGCAUGGUCUUGACCACCGCCCCUAAAAAUUAUGUCUAAAAUUUCCCUAAUCGACUCCAAUCUAGACACUGUGGUCUUUGCUUGGACCCCUGGUCCAGUUUCAGCGGAAUUUCCUAAAUAUGCAGGACCAAAACACAUUACUGAACCACUUUGCAUGAACCAUCGAGAUAUUUGUUAAAAGUUCAAUGUGUUCAACUAACACGACAGAGGCACAGAACUCCCAAAAAUGGACAACUUUGACCCCCACUAAUUAUCAAGAAUAAUAGUGUAUUGUAAUAUAAAGAAUAAUACCAGAAAAAUCAAUUACCUUCCUCUAGGAGUAGUGAAGCACAAUCAAUUGUCUCAAUUAGUUUUUUGGAUGUGUCUGAUGUGAUAUUCAGUUCAGAGAGAAAAUCGUAUAUGUAACUCCCAGCUUUUGUGUAACCCAACUCCUUGGAUUCAAUUACCAACUCACCAAUUUUUUUCUCAAGUGCCAUUAAGAGAGCUGGAAAGAAUGUUUUGAUAGUACCAACAGGGGAUCACUGUCAAAAUCCUCGAAGUAAAGGUACAGGCUUCCACAUAAGAACAAAAUAAAGGCAUAGGAGUACAGAAUCACGUGGAUCCAAGUACAACUUCGAGAAGUUGAAAGAAUUUUGGUUCACCUUUGAGGAUUGCAUAAUUUUCAGGGUCAAAUUGUUUAUCAGCAGAAUUUUCAAUGGACCUCUUUGCUGAACACAGUUUGAUGCAUUCAUGAGCUUCUGCCACACAAGCAGUUAAGUUAUUUGGAUGUAAGUCAAAAGAGGCUGCAUCUGCGCAUAUACUCUCCUGCAUAAAAGAGUUAUGGUAAAUUUAAGUCCAAAGUAUGGCUGCUUUUGCAUUCAGAAUUCUCAAUUUAAGGCCAUUAUUGAGAGUUCAGUAACCAAUUAAACAGAAGGAGCCCCUUACCAAGUUGUGUGCUUCGUCAAAUAUAAGUACCGCAUUGUCCCAUGGUAUGCUAUUUAAGGAACGACGGUUUCCCGGAUCAAUAAGAUAGUUGUAUGGAGCAAACAAGAUGUCAACUGACUUCGAAAGUUCCCGGGAGAUGUAAUAUGGGCAUCUAAAAUAAUAAAGAAAAGAUGCCACUAGUGGGUCAAAAAAAUACAUAAACACGCUUGCCAUUUAUCUAUAAAGAUGGAAAUUACAGAGAAAAAAUAUGAAACUUACGGGCCGUUAGGUUUCCCUUUCCCAAUAUUAACCAAAUCUUCAAUGUCAAAAGGCUUGCUCCCAAGCUCAGGUUUGUUUUUCAUGAACUCUGCAGGAAGUGCCAUUCAUGAGCAAUAUAUGGUUAAUUGAUGACAUUUGCUUUGUUUAGAAUAAGAAGGAAAACUAAGUAGCUAAAGGUGGACAGGUCUCCCACUUGAAGAGUCAUUUGCAAGAAUCAAAUAAUAAUCAUGGUAUUCAGUGAGAUACACCUUGUAUCAAUCAGAAUGGAUCAAGGUACAGGCAAGAAUUAUGCAUGUGUGUUUUCUUUUAUGGUUGCCAUUUAUCUUGGUGUGCAGCCUGCAGGGCCAAUUUUAUGGCUUAUCUAAUAAAGAACAAUUCUGUUGCAAUUACCAGCGACAACAUUAUUAUGCUGGCACCGGCGUUUCUUGCAGAGGAAGUGGCAGGCAUUGUUCUGUGCUCUUCCACGGAGUUUGCUCACUUCGCUGUGGAUGCACAUCUGCUCGCGGGAGCCCAGCACUGCCAUUUUCGGCCUGUGAAACAUUAUGCACCAAAUCACCAAAUCAAUUAUGAGCCAUCAGAGGUUCUGAGAUCAGUCAAUCUACAACUGCAACUAUUGAAGACAGUUCCAGCCCUCAGCUCCAUGGCAUUCAUGAGAAAUUACUUGACAGCACACAGUCCGACACAAUUAGCUCUCAAAUAAGAACAGGGUACUGAAGAACAAGUUCAGUUGCUGACCUGUAACUGGUGGCCUUGAGCUCCUUGAUGACCUGCCGGAGCUGGCUGUGCGUCCGGGAGGCGUAUAUGAUCACGGGGUACCCCGAGUGCUGCUGCUGAGACGCGGGGUACCCCGAGUGCUGCUGCUGAGACUCGGGGUCCCCCGACUGCUGGCUCCCGAGCGGCUGGCUCCCGUAGUGCAGCUGCUGGCUCCCUCCGCCGCCGCGGCCGCCGCCGCGACCGCCCCGCAGGAACUCGCCGAAGGUGCGGCGCCACGCGAGCGAGGCGCACAGCAGGCACAGCGUCUUCCCCGUCCCCGUCGGGCUCUCCAGCAGCGCGUUCUUCCCCUGGCCAUCGAUCCGGCGGGGAGGCGCGAGCACGAAGCAGUCAGAACCGAGCCAAAUUUUUGGUAGGGUUUAGCGCGUCGAUUUGGAGGAUUUGGCAGCGGGGGGGAUUGCUUACCUGUUGCAGGGACUCGAUGACGCGAUCCAUGUAGGUGAUCUGGCAGUCAUAGGCAUCGAAGGGGAAGUCGACAUCGACGCCGCGAAUGCUGUAGACCGGCAUUUCGCCGCCGGAGGCGGUAGAGGCGGCGGCGGGAGGAGGUGUGGGCGGGAAUGGGGCAAGGCUUGCGAGGGAAGGAGUCCGAGAGUGCGCGCCGAAGAGGAAGAGGGGUUUUGGUCACCCAAGAGGCCGAGACGGCGUUGUUGGACGGUCGCGGAACCACACACAUGGGCCGCAUCGCACGGACAGGGGCUGCUGCAGUCCGAAUUCCCGGUUUGAACAGAACCCUUUCUCUUUUUUUUUCUUUUUCUUUUUUUUUUUUGAAGCGGGGUUUGAACAGAAACUUAGCAAGGCCCGCGACGCAAUUACCGUGUUACUCAAAAUAAAAUCUGAUACAUUUUCUUUCUUAAGGAAAACCUUAUUUCACUUUUGGCUUAAGGAUCUGAGAAGAGUCUCUGUGUGCUAAAGAAACAAAAGUAUUUUUUUCAUGCUUAAUUAUCAUAGACCUACCCCCUCAAAAAAAUUAUCAUAGACCUACGAAUAAAUUGUUAAAAGCGCCCACAAAAGUGUAAAAUGUGGGAUGUUUAACCGUAAAUUACUGCUGAUAUAAUAAAAAUUAGUUCGAGUGAUCCUCGCCUACCAUUAGAACAAUUAUACUGCUCCGUACAUUUCAAAUUAUAUGUAUACAUAAUUUUUACUAUGGAUCUACAUAUAUAUUAUAUAUAGAUACAUAUCAAAAUCUAUAUAUAUUUUGGAAUGGAAGGAGUACUAGUCUACUACUGCCAUUUUUAUCAUAUUUCAUGCUAAAUUAUUGGAAGUACAAUAAGGUAUAGUUGAGUAGGGGGUGCUCUCGAUGCAUCAAGAACCAUGAUCUUUUUUUUGUCUCUUUGACUUUGGAGUACAGUUCUACUACAUUCGUUCGAAAAUAUAGUCUAAUUUUUUAUAUUAGUAGUUGUAUUAUGAUAUAAAAAGUCUUUAGAGACAUACUUUUUUACUCUAAAUUUCUCUUGCAUUAUAUCAUUAUUUACUAAAAUAUCAAUUCAUAUGACUUCUGUGGCUAUGGUUUCUCUGAUGGAGCGGGUUUUUUCCGGUUUAUGUGGCUGGAAAAAUGUAUGGCAAAAUGACUUCUCCUUGCUAUUUAAAAUGGAUAUAAAUGUGAAAUGUCCGUAGCAUCCGUAUCUUUUUCUUUUUUCUUCUUUUUUUCAUCUCUUUUCCCUUUUUUUCUUUUCCCUUCCUAUUAUUUUUCCCUCCUUAUAUUUCCCAUCCUCUCUCUCUUUCUUAUCCAUUCUCUCCCGCACCGUCGUCCCUCUCCACCCGCCAGCCGCCUCUCCUGCACUGUCGUCCCCUGCGCCCGCCAGCCUCCCACCUCCCCUGCGCCGGCCUCACCUGCGCGGCUGCGCCCGCUGGCCACCGCGUCAGGCCUCCCCUACGCGGUUGCACAGGCCAACUGCCGGGUCCGACCUCCCCAGCACCCGCCGGCAUGCCACCUCCCCUACGCGGGCUGUGCCGGCCAUCCGCCGGGUCCGGCCUCCCCUGCCCCCCAUCGGCUGUCGGCGACUACGCUCGUCGGCUAGCGACCACCUCGCCCUCUCCCCUCCGCCUCCGCCUCCGCCCCCGCCUCCCUACUCUAGGGGCCAAAGCUGGAACUUUGCCCCCGCGGACGGGGAAGAGCCAUGGGGAGCCACUUUUUUCGGCUUCCUCCCGAUCGAACGACUCCGAUCACCGCAUUUUGCAGGGCUCCCAUGGUGAAGCCAUUUCUUCUCUAGCCCUUUGGCAGGGCUUGACCAGAAGCCGGUGGUGAAGCCGGUCAGGAAGCCCUACCAAAGGGGGCCUAAGCUUUAACUCAAAGGCGUGUUGGAAAUGCCUACGUUAGUAAUUUUUCAUCACUGCAAACCAUCCACCCAAUGACCAGAGAACAAGUGGGAAAACAAGGGUACGUCCAGGUUGCAUAGUGUGAGCUGUAUACUUGUAUGCAAAACAAUUUUAAAUGGCACCUAGUGUUGAAUGAUAUGUGAUCACAAAUAAAUAGAAUAUUACUAUAAUGGGGAAAUUUAUAGAGGUUUCUCUGAUGUUUAUCUAACUUUUUAUGCUCUUGGCUCACUUGUAAUUGACAACCGCAAUAGUACAGGCAGAAAUGUGUGUAAUCUUAGUUCUUAACUUCUUAAACUAGACUUAAUAACAUGUAAAAGAAAAGUCCAGUACUCAUAAUUAGAAUCAACAAAACUUUCAGAAAUCCUAUAUAUCUAUAACUUCAGCCUCAAUUUCGUUAGAAGAAGAAAGGGAAAACUAGAGCGUUAGUCUCAAAUCAACAGCCGUUUCAAGAAGGGAGUACUUAGUUCUUACCCCUACCUUAAACUCCAAUUGUGAUUUUACUCUCAUUUUUGUCCACUUUGUAAUUUUACCCCUGCUUUUUCAAAAUGAACGCUCUAUUUACUCCUAUUUCUGACUCUUUUAGCUGCAUUCAGAAUGAACGAUUUAAAAAAAUUACAAAAAUCCUUCAUAAUAUGUUGAAAAGACAAAACUGCCUCUUUUUCCCUCUCUUCCCCGUCCCCCCUCUCGAUGCCUCACUUUCUCCCAGUCUCUCUCCCAACGUCUCUCUCUUGGUCUUGCAGCCGCAGCGGCUGUGGUUCCGACUAGGGCGGCCGACGGCGGGAUUUUCGGCGGCCAGCAGGCGACCAAGGCUGAUUCCAGUGGCUGGAGAGCGGCGAACGACAUGAGGGGCAGGCGGCCUGGAGGCGUGGGCGUCCGGGGGCCUGGGCGCACAGCUAGCCGGGGGAUGGGCCGCGGGGCGCGGGCGGCGGGGGUCCUACGCGCAUGGGCAGCUGCGGGAUUGGACGCGAGGCGCGGGCAGCCGGGUCCUGGGCGCAUGGCAGGCGGGGGGAUUUGGCGCGGUGCGAGGCCAGCGCAUGGGCAAUCUGAAGGCGCCGCUAUUUUUUUUCAGGGUGAAGGCUAUUAGAGUUCUCUAGAAUCUCAGCACAUCUUAACUUUAGUUCUCUAGAGUUUUGAUAAUCACAGAAGAGUUCAUGGGCCAAAUCUAAGCAAGCAACCGAGUGUACUUAAAGUUUAGUGAUGGUAAUUUGGAUAGUAGGGAUUGUUUUUCAAGUAUUCUAAUAUUGUCUAAAUAUUUGAUCUCAAAUAGGGGUAAAAUCACUAAGUUAAAAAAAAAUAGAGGCAUAUUCGCAAGGGCAAACUUGUCUCAUCUCAGCUCUUUCGACACCGUUAGAUGCUGCUAAGGGAGUAGGGGUAAACUUUCUCUUCAAAUUCAAAAAGAAGGUGGUAAAAUCACAAAGCCGAUAAAAAUGAGGGUAAAAUUAUAAUUGGAGUUCAAAGUAUCAAGAAUGCAAUAGAAGGUGCGCUCCCAUAAACAUCCGCAAAUCAACAGCCGCGAUUGCCCCAGCUGGCAUCCAGUACCAGAAAGAGACAUCCAUCCGUUGAUAUGCAGAUCUUGGCUUCUUGCCCAUGGAAGGGGAAAAAGAAUUCAAAGGAAAAAAAAACGAGGAAGGACCGGCACAGGCUCACCGCGCACAGAUCCUGAGGAUCCAGUCAUCCAGGCCUUUCGCUCCCGUCUCUCGCAUCGCCUUCUUCCUCCUCCGUCUCUCCCCAAAACCGCGCCACACAAGCAAGCAGGCCCUUCACAAAUUCGAACUCUCUACUACUUCUCACUGCCGCUUCUAUCCCCACGGGCGCACCGACAUGCUCGCCGCCGCAUCGUGAUCCCGGGCGCCCUAGCCGCUCUCGGGGGUUCCUCGCCAUGGCCGCGUCGGAGCGGGAGGCCGCGCUCCUCGCGCGCGUGGCCGCGAACCACCUCUUCCUCGGGCAGUUCGAGGCCCUGCGCGCGGCGCUCCUCAGCCUCCGCCGCCGUGCCGACCCGGGGCUCGCCGCGGACUUCCUCCGCGCGGUCGUCGCCGCGGGGGGCCGCGUCCCGGGCGUGCUCUGGUCCGCGCCCCCCGCCUGCCCGUCCCCGUCCCACCUCGCCUGGCUCGCCGCGCUCGAGCUCGCCGCCCUCCCCUCCACCCCCAACCCCGAGGCGCUGCGCCUCAAGGCCGAGUUCCUCGUCCUCCUCCAGCCCAUCGCCGACGACCCCGCCGUUGGCGCCGAGGCCAGGGAGACCCUCACGAGGCUGCUUGAUUUGGGGGUGGUGAGGCUGAGGCGCGAGGUCGAGGGAGGCGGAGGGGAGGCCGUUGCUAUUGUCGAGGAGGCCCCUGUCACCGAGAAGGAUCUGAGGAGGCUGUGGGGGGUGUUCCUCGAUAACGCCCUUGUGCUUGACGCAUUGUGUGUGGGCAUAUCGAGGCAGAUCGGCUUGGACGGGGGUUUCGGCGCGGACGUGCUCCUGUGGCUGCGGCAGAACGUGCAGCUUGCCCACUUGGACUCCAUGAAGACACUCCUUGCAGAGGAUGAUCUUGACGGUGCUGCUGGUCAUCUCCGGUUUCUUUGUCUUGAUCAUGGCGUGGAGGAGGAUGAUUACAAGUAAUCUCUAAAUAAUAUUAAUCGAGUAUACAUCUUUUUAAGUAACAUUUCAACACUAGCUAGUGCAACUUGAGCAUUUAAUAAACAUGUAGAAUCAUCUGUGGAAAUAGUAAGGACAGUAGUAGCGUUGAGUUACAGUUAGUGUUUCGUAGUGGAGUUGGCCAGGAUUUAAUAUCGUUUUACAGCCAUUAGUAGCAGCAUAUGUAAACUGGUAAUGGCUAGAGCCAUGCAGAGCAGCAUUCUAUAACAUUUGUAGGUUUUGAGAAAGAACCAUCACAUUCAUGUUUCUGGUUUCAGAUUAGACAUGUUCAAUUGGUUCCAGAUUAAGACAUGAAAACGAUCAAUCUAAUUACAUAUCAUGUGUACUGGUCUCAGUUUAGUGAUGGAUCUGGAAUAUGGAUACACUUAAUAGAUUGCUGAAAUCAACUUCUUCGUGCACAGGGUUAUCAUAUCAGAGCUUUUCAGAAAGGGUUGGACAAAAGCAUCCAAUUAUGGUGGAAGGUGGUCUCAGUUGCGGGAUAGAAUAACUAAAAUGUACGGCGCAGCUCUUCAGUCUACUAGUCCCCAGCUGGUGCAACUCGUUCAGGUAAUUACAAAUUCUCCUAUCAUCUCUUGCUGGCAUUCUUCACUAUGAACCCCUUUGCCUAUUCAAUUUCUUCCAGUUUUUCCUUUCCUGAUUGAUAACCUGCACCUCGUGUCAUAUAACCAUUCUGUUCCCCCAUUUGUGACAUAAAUUUGGCUCUUUAACAUUUUCAUACGCACUUUAGGCCUUGAAUAGCACAUAUCCUGACUCCUGAGUGCCUUUUUGUUUGUUUCUUAUGAUAUUUAUUUGUACUUUAGGCCAAAAUUUUAGAUGUAGAUGGCCACAGUUUUGAAUUUAUUCCUUGAAAUUCCAGGUUUCUUGUGACCCCAAUACCACUGCCUCUAACAUAAUAUCAAUUAUUACCUUCUAGAUUGCAUUUUUUUGCAUGCUUACUCUUGGAUGAUGCUAAUUUUCGUUUAUAUUAUUUCUAGCUCAUUCUGGAUGACAUUGUUUCUGAAGAAAUUGAAGAUCAUAAUGUCUCUGAUGCUAAUGGGAUGCCUCUCCCUUUCACAAAAUUUGUGGAAACAUUGUCAUUGGAGAGGGGUACUGACUCAGAUGACAGGACCUUGUUGGAUGCAGCUAUAACAUCCUGCAAGAAAGAUCUCUACCAUUAUUGUCGACUCUCUGGAAAGCAUAUGCUUGAAGUUGUCUUGGAAACUGCUUUGUCAUCAAUUAAGAGGGAGCAGCUUCAAGAAGCUGUUGAUGUAUGUCAAAUUUCAACGGGAUACCCCCAUGGUUUUUUUCCUUCUGCUAUGAACAUUUCAUAUCAAAUUCCACCAGUUAGUCGCCUCAUUAGUAUCUUCUGGCAAGUGGCUUUCUGCAGGUUGUUUCGUUGUUCCCCCUUCUCCAGCCAUUGGUUGCUGUCUUGGGGUGGGAUAUUCUGAAGGGUAAAACAGCUCUACGGAGAAAGCUAAUGCAGCUGUUCUGGACAAGCAAAUCCCAAGCUCUACGACUACAGGAAUAUUCAAAUUACCGUAGUCAGACAGAUGAGGUACUUCCUCUGUCACUGAUUUUCUUCUUCUUCUUCUUUGAUAUGUGAGGAUUGUGGCAAUUUAUUUUUGCAGACAUCCUGCGAGGAGUACUUGUGUGAUCUUUUAUGCUUUCAUCUGGAUCUUGCAUGUUUUGUUUCAAGUGUGAAUUCUGGCCACCCAUGGAAUUUGAGGAAUUCGUUAUUGUUUCCCCAACAAGAUCAAGGUUCAGAUGUUAACAAUGCAGAAAUAUUAGACCCUUUUGUCGAGAACUUGAUACUUGAGCGGCUAGCUGUUCAGACUCCCAUGAGAGUGAGUUCUAAUUUCUCUCUCAUCUCAUACAUGUGCUUCACAUGUUGCAUGCUCAUUUGCAUAUAUAUUACCUAUUUAGUACUUUUGUAUGAUUGUAUCAUUUAUCCUCUUGUGUCUUGUUUGGCUCGAAAGGAACCUUUCUUUUCCUAGCUGAUGGCGUGAUGUUCUUUCAUAAUUACUUUUCCUUAACUAUCAGGUGCUAUUUGACGUAGUCCCAGGAAUAAAAUUUCAAGAUGCAAUCGAGCUUGUUGGUAUGCAGCCACUUCCUUCAGCAACUGCAGCUUGGAAGAGGUUCAUAAACAUCUCUGCUGCGAUUUUCUGUUGGCUGCUAUGUUUUAUUUUCUUUAUUUGGGGUUUAUACAAUCAGCAAUGUAAUCUCAACUAUUAUGCUUCAUGCUCCCUGAUGCAUAAAUUUCUUCCCAUAUUUAACCUUCUUGAGCAGUCGUUGAGUUGCCUUUUGUCCACUUUGCUAAUGCCUUUAGCGGUCAAGCCAUGUUAGAAGUUUUCUUAAUACUACUACGCCAAAAGAAGAAUGAAAUAUUUUUGUGUAUUCUUCACUUAUGUUUGGCUUUAUUUUCCAAUGAGCGGUCUGUUUCGUGUGACAGGAUGCAUGAUAUUGAACUGAUGCACAUGCGAUAUUCUCUUCAGUCAGUUGUGCUUGCUCUAGGAGAGAUGGAGAAGUGUGCAGCUGAUGGGAAUGAGUGUUAUUAUCAUAAAGCGUUAUCAUAUCUGAGGGAGAUGCAAAAUUUUGUGGAGGCUAUCAAAAGUACUCCAAGAAAGGUUGGGUCUUCUGUGAUAUGUUCUUAUUCAGGUGCAUGUUUUUUUUUGGCAAAUGCAUAUUUUUAUUCCUCAAAGUAGCAAAGCCAUGGAAUUAUCAGUUCUACAUACCUUAGGAGCAACCUAAUAUUUAUUCUUUUUCCUUUAAAAGGAGCUUAUGUUUUUCAAGAUUCAGACUUCAUGAUUUUUGAUAAAUAACAAAUCUAACAAUUUGUUGACUUUUUGAUUGGCAUCAUUGAACUCAUAUUUGAAAGCACUUCCCUUCAUGAUUUUGUUGAUAUGAACAAUAGGCUAUAGGGAAUUUGAUGGUAAAAGUUUAGUUUUGAAGAUCAUGCCGACUCAAACUGCAAUUUCAAUGGGGUUCCUAUGCUAUUGAGCUUCACUUUUCCAUGUUGUUUUGCAGAUUUUCAUGGUCAGCAUUAUAUUAUCAUUGUUACAUAUGGAUGACUGUGUGAAACUGUCUCAAGCAGUCCCUUCUGAGUGCUAUGUCACUCAUGAAUGCCAUGAAAGUAAUAUUGAAUCUGAGGGAAAGAACAUGGUGAUAUAUUUUGUUGGGCUUCUACUUGAUAUACUUAGUCAUAAUCUCCAAGUGAAAGGCCCUGAUAUGGAUCACCUGUCCAGUACUAGUCUGUCACCUGCUGGUAGGCAAGCAUUAGAAUGGAGGCUCAAACAUGCCAAACAUUCCAUUGAAGACUUAGAUUGGCGUCUAUCUGUUCUAAAACGCCUUCAACCUCCUUCCGAGCGGCAAUGGAGUUGGAAGGAGGCAUUAGUUCUUCUACAUGCCGCUCCUUCAAAGUUACUAAAUGUGUGAGUUUUCUAUGAUAUACUUUGUUUUUUCUAUAUUCUGUUGUGUUCACCUUUUUUAUGCUUUACCAAAGGAUUAUGCUUUGGUGUGAUCUCAUUGUGCAAUUCCCAGUAUAAUUUUUAAGUUGGAAGUUUUGUGGGGCUAGAAGUAUGUACAUGUUUUAUCUUAAGUAUUAAGGCCAGUGAGUUGCAUAGAGCUAAGCAUCCCUGCCUAUUCUCUGUGGCCCUGGCCUAGCUUUUUACCAUUCUAAAAUAGUUUUUAAUUUUUAUGUUACAUUGAUGCUUCACAGCAUCAGUAGGCUGUGCACUUUUAGGAUAAUAUAAAUGCAUGGGAAUGCAUAUCACUGCAGAGUUGAUGGUAGCUUGGCAUUAAACGUGACACUUAUUUUCUCAGACUUGUAUAAUCUCAUCUGAAACACUAGAGCUUUUCUGUACUCAUCUCCAAUUUGGCAUGUUUGCUCAUCUGAACCCUAUAUAAUGGGCUAUUGUACUCAAAUCCUGGGAGUUGCUUACAUUCCAUGGGCCAAGGGUACUGAGAUGUAUAACCUUUCUCAAUGGGUCAAUAAUAUAUUGCGGACUAAUAUGAAAAAAAGCAUUAUUGUAUUGAAGAAAAUACUGGAAAAAUAUAAUAUUGAUCUCCAGAGUCUCUGACCUUUCCUUUUGUUUCUUUGACAUUGUUAAAUGUUUGCACCUUUAAUAUUUCUUUAAUAUAAUGUAACUUACUCUUUUACUUUUGUGAGAUUUUAUUUAUCUUGUUUCUGAGUUCUGUUCUCUGUGCAUGUGCGUACGUGCAUGUAUGCAUGCGUCUAUGUGGCAUGUCAAUAUGUUAUGACACAUGGUUGUGGGGAACUUCUCACCAUUCAAAUUCGUGACAGAUGCAUGCAAAGGGAAAACUAUGAUAUAGGAGAAGAAGCUGUACAGAGAUUUUCUUUACCCGCCGAGGAUAAAGCCUCUCUUGAACUAGCUGAAUGGGUAGCUGGCGCAUAUAAAAGAGCAUUGGUAUGCUUACACAUGCAAUUUUAUUAGUUGCUUUGUAGAUACAAUGUGCUCGAUUUUCUUUUUUCUCGAUGUACUUUGCACAUGGAACUAAGUUACUCCUCUGCCAUUUGUGCUGGAAGUUUCUCUCACAAACAGUGGGAGGAGAGGUAUGGGGAAGAUAAGUCGGCAACAGGGAAAGCUUGAGAGUUAUGGACUGCCAUAUGCUACCUUGGUUUCAUUCACAGAAAAAGUGACAUUUACAUCCUCCAGAGUGCAUACUUGGCUACUAAACUCUUAUCGUAACAUAUUUAAAACGUAUCAACGGCCUGUUUGGAUACGUGGUAUUUUUGGAGUUUUUAUAAGGAGCUGAAAAUACCAUGGUAUUAAAAUUGAGGCGUCCUAUAAAAUGCAGCAUACCAAAUACAAUGAUGUUAGUUUUUCUUAAAAAAAAAUGCACUCACAUCUUGUUUCUUGUAAAGACUGACAAAGUGACUGGCUGACUGCUAGCUUGAUAUUCAUCUGUUCAAUGCAUGCCAUGUUCAGUACUUCUUCAGCCAUCGAGUCAUGUAAAUCUUUCUGCUGUAUUACAUUCUUUCGUUCGCUUUUCUGCUGAGCUAAAUAUUGAUAUGUGCUCUUAGGUUUUGGAACCUUGAUCUGCAAUUGUUCAUAUUCGGUUAGAAUGUUUGGAUUUCAAAUUUUAGGUACUCAGUUAAUAUUUCAAAAAUAACUGUAAAACAGCUGAAUGUGAUUAUUUAUAGCAAACAUGUCAUUUUUGUAUCAAGGUCAGAUGCAUCUCAUUUCCUUACUUUUGUUGUCCUUUUCAGGUUGAAGAUGCGGUGAAUCGUGCUACCAAUAACAAUGCGGGACAGGAAUUGGAUAUUUUGUCAUUACGUGCUCAGCUUGGUUCUCUAACUACGGUUAGGAAUUCUCUUUUAUCUGCAUUGAGUAAUAUCAAUGAUACACAUUCUUGAUAUUUGGCCAAAAAAUAAUAUCUGAACUUUCAGAUUCUACUUUGUGUUGAUGUUGCUGCAACAUCUGCUAGGUCAGGUGAUAUGUGCCGAUUUCUUCUUGAUGAGGUAAGCAUUAUCAGCUGUGCAUUUCUGCAUCAUACUCUCGCAUAUAGUAUUGGAAAUGACCGUUGUUGUAUCUUCUUUUUUUUGUGUGUACUCUACCAUUAGACUAAUGUGGAUUGGGUUUGCUGCUAAUUUCACUCUUGCUUUGGAGUAUGAGUGUAGCAUAGUGCCUCAUCUUUAUUUUUUUUCUCUUUUUGUCACCAAGGUACCCUGUACUACAUGAUCCAAAAAAGGAAACUGAUGCAUGGUGUCUUCUGUACGUUUAAAAUAGGAAAAACUAGGAAUGCAUGUGUAUCCAUUUGCUUGUGCACUAGGACAUCCAUAACUAAUUUUUAUUUUCUUGGAAGAUUGAGCAUAUGGAGGAAUGAAUGUGCCAGUAAACGGGAAUACUAGUUCCCUUAUCUGGCUUGUGCAUUUGAUUAUUUCAUAUACUUAUCAUCUAAAAUAUUAUGUUUAACACCCUACCCCAUUGACAUAUGAUUUCGCUAGUCAUAAUCCUACACUAGGAGGUUGCCUGAUUGUAAAUAAUUACAGUUGUUAGCAGUGAAACCUAGUGUGCUCAACUUCAAGUGUUUUUCUGCUGAAGCCUGUCCAGCUAUCAAUUCGAACAAAUCCUUUGAAUUAUUUCCUUUUUAUUUGUGCCUGAAUUCCUUUUACACAAUUUUGCUAUAUAAUAGUGGUCCCAAUUGCAGUGUUGUUCUAUCUGCCCAGUCUCGAUUGCAUGGUUUUGUUGCUUUUGGCAUGACGACAUAAGUUCACACUCCUUUUCCUCAUAUACAGGCAACAAGCUUGCUAUCUGAAAUAUUUCCAGGCAGCUCCCCAAAAGAAGGCGCAGCUUACUGGGAUCAGAUCCAAGAACUUGCUACGAUAUCAGUGAUAAAGCGCAUCCUUCAGCGUCUGCAUGACAUCGUGGAUCUGGUAAGCUUUUAUUUGUAAGUAAUCAACGAACUACUGGAUCUUUGAUCUUCUGCUCGACUUCCCCACUUGUUUAGUUUUUGUCUAUUGUGCCUAUGAAAAAAACAGUGACAUUUUCAGCAUCUUUGCUUAUAUUAAAGGCUUAUCACUUCUUUACAUACUUCUUAGAAUAAUCCAAUGUACAGUUUACAUAAAAAAGCAGCACGAAUUGAUUAUAUUUGUGGCUUUUAUUUCUGUUCAGCAUUUGAUACAGCUAAACAACCAUAUACUUGCUUUUAAAUAUACCUUUUGUUCUCAUUUAGGAACCUCUUCCAUAUCUUCAAGUGUUUUUUACCGAGAUGAGCAUCUCUUCGUCAACUGAAUCUAGCAGAGUUGGACAAAAGCAACGUCCUCUUGGGCUUCUUCACCAAAUGAUUGAUGACGCCUUCAAAGGAAAGCGGCAAUUCUUGAGUGGUAAUAUCUCAGUUGAUUCAGUUGAAUGUUAAAUUAUUUUGUUGUGAUGUUCUGGCAGCACGUUUGACAUUUCUGUUUUAGGUAAACUUCACAAUGUUGCUAGAGCUAUUGUUGAUGAAGACUUUGAUAGUGUUUAUGCAAAAGAAGGUGUCAACUUAGAAAAGAAAGAUGUUUUGAGUUCUGAGAAAGGUGUAGUCCUUGGUCAUGGGCUUAGGAUCCUGAAACAAGCAUCUAGGAGUGACCUUGCAUCUUCAAAUGUUCCGGAAAGCAGUUCAGAACACAAAGGUUCUACAAAUAGAUACAUGGGUCCUCUAUCUACCAAGCCAUCAACAUAUUUAUCAAACUUCAUAAUAUAUAUUGCAACCAUUGGUGACAUAGUCGAUGGAACUGACACGACUCAUGAUUUCAACUACUUCUCAUUAGUCUACGAAUGGCCAAAAGAUGUAAGCUCAAAUCCGUACCUUUUUUAAUGUUUUUUUUUCUUAUACUCAUAUGUUCAAUGAAAGUCCGUAACAUAUGCAUAUUUGAAAUGAUUUUUUGAGAGAGGGGGGCAUUGAAAGAUGACAUGUGGGAUCAGCACUGUGUCAGCAAAACCGGGGGGGGGGGGGGGGGGGGGGGGGGGGGGGGGGGGGGGGGGGGGGGGGGGGGGGGGGGGGGGGGGGGGGGGGGGGGGGGGGGGGGGGGGGGGGGGGGGGGGGGGGGGGGGGGGGGGGGGGGGGGGGGGGGGGGGGGGGGGGGGGGGGGGGCAUUGAAUACCUUGUUUUGUACUACAGGGGAGGGGGUUAAUAUUCCUAGUUGGAAGAUAUGGAGGAUGACAUGUAUUUGAACUCUAUAUAGUCAACCAUUACCCUGUUGUAAUGGCAUUUGUCUUCGACUUUCAUUCAUUAACAGUAAAGAAUAAGGAUUUUUUUGUAGCAAACAAAUCAGAGCUUUUGUAGGGUUCCGUGUCGCAAGGGAUAGAUAAGAUUCUAGGUUUUCAGAUAUUGAAUAUUUUCUUUCUCCCAACCCGAUUGCAAUGGAACACUUGCCUUCUAUAUUCUUUAAUUGCAGGUACAUGUAAGGAAGUUUUUGUAGCUAACAAACUGGAGCAGUAGUGGUCCAUGUUUCAAUGUCAAUGGAUGAUUAACUUUCUAGGCUUUCAGAUAUUGAGAUACGUCUUUGUCCUGAGUGAAUUUGGGAUCUCAGAUCAAACCAUCAUUUUUUUUUUGGUAACAUAGCAAAUGAUAGGGUUUCUGCACAAGGUUACGUGGGUGAAUCUCUAGGUAGCAUUUAAUGGAACAUGUCAAUGGCAAUUAUAUGCAUCAUAAUGAAAAAUCUGAUAAUUAUCAUGGUGUACGUUGGUUGAGUUCAGCAUUCUGGAAAACAUUAUCUGAAAAAUCUAAAAAGGUUGCUAACUGAGAUACGAUUACGAAGACAUUAAAUAUAUUGGCAUUUUGUACAAAAUGAUCUCUUACUUCAUUGUUCUAAUGUCAAAACUACAAUAUAGUCAUUUCAUAAAGCUAAAUUAUUGUCCCUUUGAAUACCAUUCUUGGCAUUACUACUUAGCUAAUACAUGUUAC
rnacentral:lncRNA from 1 species